rnacentral:rRNA from 1 species
GGGUCCUACGGGGGGCAGCAGUGGGGAAUAUUGCACAAUGGGGGAAACCCUGAUGCAGCAACGCCGCGUGAGUGAUGACGGCCUUCGGGUUGUAAAGCUCUGUCUUCAGGGACGAUAAUGACGGUACCUGAGGAGGAAGCCACGGCUAACUACGUGCCAGCAGCCGCGGUAAUACGUAGGUGGCAAGCGUUGUCCGGAUUUACUGGGUGUAAAGGGCGUGCAGCCGGGCUG